UAAAAACUCAUCUCUGAUUCAGUAUGUUUCAGUAACGAUUUCACUUUUCUUCCAUUUGUUUCGGAACCGUAACACUGGACUGUGGUUCCCUUAUUCAGGGAUGAAGAAGUUAGGGUUUAGAAUUCUUUCUCUAUGUGGACCACCUAACUGCUGGUUGAUGGGCUCAGUCUACAGCCCUGAUUCUAACUACUUUCCAUAGAGAAAUACAUAGGGAUUAUUGAGUCUAAGAUUUGGCUGCAUCAUCAAUAAACCUAUCACUCUCUCCUCACAGAACAGUUCAAAAUUAUUUUUUCCCACCCACAGCUAAUCAGCAGGAACGCAGGAAAGGAAGUACAUAUAGAGAGACACAACACUGAAGGGGUUUACCAUUCUAUGUUGAUGACAAAGGGGAGCACAGAGCUCAUUGCGUAUCUGAAGGAGGUGGACACACAGCCACACAGCCAGGACUCCUGGAAAUGGCUGAUCCACCUUCUACAUCCUGAAAACACAGACUCUCCCUGA
rnacentral:lncRNA from 12 species